CUGUUACAUUCUUGGGACUGCAUUUCGAUGCAAAAGGAAUGGGAUGCUAUAAUAUUUCUGAGAAUUUUCAAUAUCUUAAAAAUUCCCGCCUAUCACAAGACGUCAGUUACUGAACAUAUUCUUCUGGAGAGAGAAUAUGUUGAAGUAAUGAUGAAUCAUGAACCGCCUCAGGCUGGAAACAGAGCAGGGUUAGUGAUCGCUGACGUACGGUGUGAAGAUUACGGUUGA
rnacentral:SRP_RNA from 16 species